UACGUAGGGUGCGAGCGUUGUCCGGAAUUACUGGGCGUAAAGAGCGUGUAGGCGGUUUGGUAGGUCCGUUGUGAAAACUCGAGGCUCAACCUCGAGACGCCGAUGGAAACCAUCAGACUAGAGUCCGGAAGAGGAGAGUGGAAUUCCUGGUGUAGCGGUGAAAUGCGCAGAUAUCAGGAAGAACACCCGUGGCUAAGGCGGCUCUCUAGUACGGUACUGACGCUGAGACGCGAAAGCGUGGGGAGCGAACAGG
rnacentral:rRNA from 1 species